CAAGUGGAUAUUGAUUAUGAUAUUUUUGUGUUAGUUAUCUCAUCAAGAAGCUGGUAACGAGGCUGCAGAAGCCUUAAGCACGCAAGAUCACUUAAAAUAGAACGGGUCGAAAGUGAAGGUGAUGGGGUUACGCCAUUGCCCAACUAUCUUACCCUAGCAAACCUGCUGGCAUUUAGGGUCAUUCAUUCAUUUGCAAGGCGAUGUACCAUACGCCACUCCGGUGUAUGGUAUGGCGAGUUCUGAAUUCGGGUGAAUCCAACGGGUAAACAGGUGGGAGUGGAGCCUAGAGACGUCUAAACAGUUUUUUGUUCAAAGUUUGCGGGACUGCAUCCAACAGACUUUGACAGGUUUGAUCGAGCUUCAUGGAAAAUAAACGUUGAGAUGAGAUGAACAUGGAACGCAAGAAAAAUAGGAACUGAUAGUUUGACUGAGCAAAUACCUUUGUUUAUUAUA